AACAGGAUUAGAUACCCUGGUAGUCCACGCCGUAAACGGUGGGUACUAGGUGUGGGUUUCCUUCCUUGGGAUCCGUGCCGUAGCUAACGCAUUAAGUACCCCGCCUGGGGAGUACGGCCGCAAGGCUAAAACUCAAAGAAAUUGACGGGGGCCCGCACAAGCGGCGGGGCAUGUGGAUUAAUUCGAUGCAACGCGAAGAACCUUACCUGGGUUUGACAUGCACAGGACGCCGGUAGAGAUAUCGGUUCCCUUGUGGUCUGUGUGCAGGUGGUGCAUGGCUGUCGUCAGCUCGUGUCGUGAGAUGUUGGGUUAAGUCCCGCAACGAGCGCAACCCUUGUCUCAUGUUGCCAGCGCGUUAUGGCGGGGACUCGUGAGAGACUGCCGGGGUCAACUCGGAGGAAGGUGGGGAUGACGUCAAGUCAUCAUGCCCCUUAUGUCCAGGGCUUCACACAUGCUACAAUGGCCGGUACAAAGGGCUGCGAUGCCGUGAGGCUUAGCGAAUCCUUUAAAGCCGGUCUCAGUUCGGAUCGGGGUCUGCAACUCGACCCCGUGAAGUCGGAGUCGCUAGUAAUCGCAGAUCAGCAACGCUGCGGUGAAUACGUUCCCGGGCCUUGUACACACCGCCCGUCACGUCAUGAAAGUCGGUAACACCCGAAGCCAGUGGCCUAACCCUUGUGGGGGGAGCUGUCGAAGGUGGGAUCGGCGAUUGGGACGAAGUCGUAACAAGGUAACC
rnacentral:rRNA from 1 species